rnacentral:tRNA from 1 species
CGGGGCGUAGCGCAGUCCGGUUAGCGCGCAUGUUUUGGGAACAUGAGGUCGCGAGUUCGAAUCUCGCCGCCCCGACCA